ensembl:lncRNA
ACCAUUAUUUAACCAGGUGUGUGUGUGUGUGUACCUGUGUCUGGCUGAGUACAGACUGAGGCCAGGCUGAAGAGAGAAAAUAUGAUGAAGGCGAUGAUGAUGAAGGUCAACUCCAGACCAGAGAACGGCAGCUCCAUCUAUACAAAUCCACAUAUUAAUUUGACAGGAACUAUAAUGGUAGAUAGUGUUGGAGCACAAGCAUUUCCCUACUCUACUUAUUAACCAUCAGCAAUAUCCCCAGUUACUAUGACAAUAACAUCUGAUUAAUAUGUGACCGAUUUGAUUUGGUAAUACCAUGAUUAACCACACAAUGUUACAAUAUCCCAAGUUGUUGCUGGGAAGCAGGUAGCCUGCCGGGUAGGAGCAUUGGGACGCUAACCGAAUGGUUGCCGGAUUGAAUCCCAGAGCCAACAAGGUAAAAAUGUGUCAGGAAGAAACAUUUCAGUUAAGUGCAUUCAGUUGAACAACUAACUAGGCAUCUCCCCCCUUUCCCUAAAUGCCUUGUGCAUCUCUGAGGAUGGCUGUAGUACUGUUGAUGACCACUAGGUGGUACCAAUACCCUGUAUCUCUCUGAGGGUGUAGUCCUGUUUAUGGCCACUAGGUGGUACCAAUACCCUGUAUCUCUCUGAGGGUGGCUGUCGUACUGUUGGUGACUACUAGGUGGUACCAAUACCCUGUAUCUCUCUGAGGGUGUAGUACUGUUGAUGACCACUAGGUGGUACCAAUACCCUGUAUCUCUCUGAGGGUGUAGUACUGUUGAUGACCACUAGGUGGUACCAAUACCAUAUUUUAUCCCUUCAUGGAGACAUUGGCUGUGUCCGAAUACCUGUACGUGGGUCCUAAGGAGCCUUUUGGACCCAGACUUGGCACUCCAGUACCACUUCCCGAGUGGUAGCAGAGAGAACAGUCUAUGACUGGGGUGGCUGGAGUUUUUGACAAUAUUUAGGGCCUUCCUCUGACAUUGCCUAGUAUAGAGGUCCUGGAUGGCAGGAAGCUUGGGCCCAGUAAUGUACUGGACCGUAUGCACUACCCUCUGUAGCGCCUUGCGGUCGGAUGCUGAGCGGUUGCCAUACUGUACCAGUCAGGAUGCUCUCGAUGGUACAGUUGUAUAACCUUUUGAGGAUCUGAGAACCCAUGCCAAAUCUUUUCAGUCUCCUGAGGGGGAAAAGGUGUUGUCAUGCCCUCUUCACAACUAUCUUGGUGUGUUUGGACCAUAAUAGUUUGUUGGUGAUGUGGACAUCAAGGAGUCGUGGGUGAACAGGGUUUAUAGGAGGGGACUAAGCACGCUCCCCUCUGGGGCCCCCGUGUUGAGGAUCAGCGUGACAGAUGUGUUGCUGCCUACCCUUAGCACCUGGAGGUGGCCCAUCAGAAAGUCCAGGAUCCAUUGCAGAGGGAGGUAUUGGGUCUCAAGGUCCUUAGUGCCCUCAAAGCUCAUCACUAAGCUAUGGUAUUAAACGCUGAGCUGUAGUCAAUCAGAGCCGGUGUAGUAGGAUUCAAUCUUAGUCCAUUUACGCCUUGCCUGUUUGAUGGUUCGUCAGAGGGCAUAGUGGGAUUUUUUAUAAAUAUCCAAAGUUGUGUCCCGCUCCUUGAAAGCGGCAGCCUUUAGCUCAGUGUGGAUGUGUCCUGUAAUUCAUGGCUUCUGGUUGGGAUAUGUACGUACGGUCACUGUGUGGACGACGUCAUCGAUGCACUUAUUGAUGAAGCCAGUUUGCAAAACAGUCCUGUAGCUUAGCAUCUGUGUCAUCUGACUAUUUCUGUAUUGAGCGAGUCACUGGUACUUCCUGCUUUAGUUUUUGCUUGUAAGCAGGAAUCAGGAGGACAUAAUUAUGGUCAGAUUUGCCAAAUGGAGGGCGAGGGAGAGCUUUAUAUGCAUCGCUGUGUGUGGAGUAAAGGUGGUCUAGUGUUAUUUUUUCUCUGGUUGCACGUGACAUGCUGGUAGAAAUGAGGUCAAACGGAUUUAAGUUUUCCUGCAUUAAAGUCCCCGGCCACUAGGAGCGCCGCUUCUGGAUGAGCAUGUUCUUCUUUGCUUAUGGCCUUAAACAGCUGGCUGAAUGCGGUCUUAGUGCCAGCAUCGGUUUGUGGUGGUAAAUAGACGGCUACGAAAAUAUAGAUGAAAACUCUCUUGGUAGAUAGUGUGGUCCACAACUUAUCAUGAGGUACUCUACCUCAGGCCAGCAAAACCUUGAGACUUCCUUAAUAGAUUGCGCACCAGCUGUUGUUGACAAAUAGAGACAGACCACCACCUCUCGUCUUAGGUAGCUGUUCUGUCUGUCCCUCUCCAUCUCCCUGACCGCCUUCCUCUGAUCAAGACAUCAACUGUCCCUCUCCAUCUCCCUGACCACCUUCCUCUGAUCAAGACAUCAACUGUCCCUCUCCAUCUCCCUGACCACCUUCCUCUGAUCAAGACAUCAACUGUCCCUCUCCAUCUCCCUGACCGCCUUCCUCUGAUCAAGACAUCAACUGUCCCUCUCCAUCUCCCUGACCGACUUCCUCUGAUCAAGACAUGAACCUUCCCUCUGCUGGGUUUUCCACCCUCAACAGUUUCCCGUGUGUAUCAAGAAUGGUCCAUCACCCAAAGGACAUCCAGCCAACUUGACACAACUUUGGGAAGCUUUGGAGUCAACAUGCGCAGCCAUCUCUGUGGAACACCUUCUGAGGACAAAACUAAAUAUUAGGAAGUUGUUCCUAAAGUUUUGUCCACCCAGUGUAUAUCCACUAUAACCCCUGAUCUACUGUACUGUGGUCAACUUUCAUUAAAUUCCUAUAUCUAACCACUGAAUGGAUAUCUAACCACUGAAUGGAUAUCUAACCACUGAAUGGAUAUCUAACCACUGAAUGGGUAUCUAACCACUGAAUGGAUAUCUAACCACUGAAUGGAUAUCUAACCACUGAAUGGGUAUCUAACCACUGAAUGGGUAUCUAACCACUGAAUGGGAUAUCUAACCACUGAAUGGGUAUCUAACCGCUGAAUGGGUAUCUAACCACUG